GCACCAUAAAGUCAACAAACAAAAAAAAAAUCUUUUCCCUUUAUUUUGUUAACACAGAAAAGGAGAACACAGUUAAUCUCAUAUCCAUUUCUUCCACAAGUUCUCUUUAUUUUUUUUUAAAAAAUAAUAAACUCUAUAAAUUCCUUUUACAGAUCUAUUUCUUUCACAAGUUCCUCCCUUUUUUUUCAUAAUACAAACUCCAUUGAUAGAUCUAUGAAGGAACGAAGGAAAAAAAUAAAUAAAUUUGAAACACAACUUAUAUAUUUUUCGCAACUCGCCACAAAUCAGGGACAAAAAUUUCAAUUUGUAUCGGAUUCAUAUUUCCCGAUCCAGUUCUGGCCAUUUAUACUCUCCAACAGGCACCUGCCACUGCUAAGCUGAUUCUAUUAUCGAUCUAGAAGGGCUUUCCAGCCAGGUCAUUAAAGACCCGAGUGAUAUAUUUCAGAAAAUAAGCAUCAUUCGAGAUUAUCUAGAGGACAUAACUGAAGUGCCCAAGUGUCAUAUGUUGAUCCAAACAAAUUUGGAGAAAAUAUAUUAACAAACUUGAGGUUUGUUCUGGUUGUAUUAUGUUUUUCAUUUGCUACAUUAGAUGUUUUAGCAUCGAGAGAUAAUUUUUUCGUUAUGA